rnacentral:rRNA from 1 species
AACGAACGCUGGCGGCAGGCUUAACACAUGCAAGUCGAACGAGCUGGGAACUUCGGUUCCCGAUGCUAGUGGCGCACGGGUGAGUAACACGUGGGAACAUACCCUUUAGUACGGAAUAACUCAGGGAAACUUGAGCUAAUACCGUAUGACUCCUUCGGGAGAAAGAUUUAUCGCUAAAGGAAUGGCCCGCGUCUGAUUAGGUAGUUGGUGAGGUAACGGCUCACCAAGCCGACGAUCAGUAGCUGGUCUGAGAGGAUGAUCAGCCACACUGGGACUGAGACACGGCCCAGACUCCUACGGGAGGCAGCAGUGGGGAAUAUUGGACAAUGGGCGAAAGCCUGAUCCAGCCAUGCCGCGUGAGUGAAGAAGGCCUUCGGGUUGUAAAGCUCUUUCGACGGGGACGAUGAUGACGGUACCCGUAUAAGAAGCCCCGGCAAACUUCGUG